rnacentral:rRNA from 1 species
GCUCAGCAAGGCGAUGGUUGUCCUUGUUCAAGCGUGUAGAAAUGGUUCUUAGGAAAAUCCGGGAACCUCUAUUUCAAGGCGUGAUAACGAUCCCUCUUUUGGGAGAAGUGAGUAAUACCAUGCUUCCAGGAAAAUCCUCUAAGCUAUAGGUUAUAUGAAAUCGUACCCCAAACCGACACAGGUGGACGAGAUGAGAAUUCUAAGGCGCUUGAGAGAACUCGGGUGAAGGAACUAGGCAAAAUGACACCGUAACUUCGGGAGAAGGUGUACUCUUGUUAUGUGAAAUCACUUGCUGAUAGAGCAGAAAAGAGUUGAAAAUACUAGGUGGCUGCGACUGUUUAUUAAAAACACAGCACUCUGCAAACACGUAAGUGGACGUAUAGGGUGUGACUCCUGCCCGGUGCUUGAAGGUUAAUUGAUGAGGUUAGCGCUUGCGCGAAGCUUUUGAUCGAAGCCCAAGUAAACGGCGGCCGUAACUAUAACGGUCCUAAGGUAGCGAAAUUCCUUGUCGGGUAAGUUCCGACCUGCACGAAUGGAGUAACGACGGCCACACUGUCUCCACCCGAGACUCAGUGAAAUUGAAAUUGCUGUUAAGAUGCAGUAUACCCGCGGCCAGACGGAAAGACCCCGUGCACCUUUACUACAGCUUUGCAUUGAACUCUGAUCCUACCUGUGUAGGAUAGGUGGGAGGCUUUGAAGCUUUAACGCUAGUUAGAGUGGAGCCACCCUUGAAAUACCACCCUGGUAUGGUUGGGGUUCUAACCUUGGUCCGUAAUCCGGAUUGGGAACAAUGCAUGGUGGGUAGUUUGACUGGGGCGGUCUCCUCCUAAAGAGUAACGGAGGAGCGCAAAGGUAUCCUCAGCACGGUCGGACAUCGUGCAAUGAGCGCAAAGGUAAAAGGAUGCUUGACUGCGAGACUGACACGUCGAGCAGGUAGGAAACUAGGUCUUAGUGAUCCGGUGGUUCUGAGUGGAAGGGCCAUCGCUCAACGGAUAAAAGGUACGCCGGGGAUAACAGGCUAAUACCCCCCAAGAGUUCACAUCGACGGGGGUGUUUGGCACCUCGAUGUCGGCUCAUCACAUCCUGGGACUGAAGCAGGCCCCAAGGGUAUGGCUGUUCGCCAUUUAAAGUGGUACGCGAGCUGGGUUUAGAACGUCGUGAGACAGUUCGGUCCCUAUCUGCCGUGCGCGUUGGAAAAUUGAGAAGAGUUGCUCCUAGUACGAGAGGACCGGAGUGAACGAACCCCUGGUGUUCGGGUUGUCAUGCCAAUGGCAUUGCCCGGUAGCUAUGUUCGGACGGGAUAACCGCUGAAAGCAUCUAAGCAGGAAGCCUCCUUCCGGCCUCUUAUACACAUCUCCGAGCCCACGAGACUAGGCAUGACUUCGUAUGCCGUCUUCUGCUUCAAAAACAAA